AUGAGCCGAUGCAUUAAAGAAAACAGCGGCAAUGCUCUCUGUCUCUUAAAUCCCAGCUGUGAGUUUGCACAGUCCCAGCAGCACACCUUCAUCGCAGCGUCCACUGAUGGAGACACGGUUGGAGAGGCGGCUGGAGCGUGCCCUGUUUCACACAGAGAGAAGUGGCUCCUCAGAGGCGCAGCUGCUGAGCAGACCACGGAGAAUAGUGUGCACACAAAAAACAGGAUAAAACCUUUGGUGAGGAUUUGAGCUUCAGUUGAGAAAACAUCACGACAAAUGCAAAAGAAAUCAGUUUAAAGUUGAGAAAAAGAAUUGUCAAUGUUCAUAAAGCAGGAAAUGGAUAUUCAAAGUUAUCACUGCGUUUCCAAGUGUCAAGAACUGGAGUGAGAAGUACCAUCAAGAAAUUCAGAGAGCCAAACAGUACAGAACGAGCCUGGCAGAGGUAGGAAGUGAAAGAUUGAAACGCCUCUGUAAAGAAAACUGGUGAGAGAUGUGUCUGAAGACCCCAGAACAACUGCCAAGACACAAGUGCAUGACUUAGCCAAGACGAACCAAGAAAAGACAAUUACUAGGACCCACUUCUGGAGAAGAGGCACCUUCAAGCCAGAUUGAAGUAUGCUUCAGUCUGGCUCAAAGUUGCACAACCUGGAGAAUGAGUAUGCAUACUCAUGUGCUUUGAACAGAUGAGAUAAGACCGGAGCUUUUUGGCUACAGAGAUGCUGCUUACGUUUGAGUAAAGAACGGAGAGGCGUACAACCCACAGUGAAACACGGAGGUGGGAGUUUUAUGCCGUGGGGAUUCUUCAGUGUGUCUGGAUGUGGGAUUUUCGUCAAGGUGGAGGGAAUAAAGAAGAAGGGAAGAUGUGUGAAAGAAAACCUCAAGCCAUACUAAAUGAUAAACUUGGUCUGGGUCUUUGCUUUGUCUUCCAAAACGACAAUGACACGAAACAUACGUCCCUCCUGGUGAAGAACCACCUCCACAAGACCAAAGUGAGCAAUACUGACAGGCUUGCACAAAGCUCAAGCUAAAGUCCAACAUAUUUGGAGAAGACUCAAAGAAGAGAUAUUCCAAGAAGAAUGAAGUCAGGAGACGUGUGUGAAAACUUGUUGAAAACUGUGAUAAAGUACUGGAGCCUGAAUAUAAGCAUCAGGAGGCCGAACAAUUGUGUUCUCAUCUGUGUUGUUGUGUUAAGCUAAAAAAAAAGCCCAUUAAAAGCAAGUUAAUAUCUGAGAGCUGAGGGAUGCAUAAAGGUUUGUAAAUGCAUCAUCAGAAGAAGCUGAAAAAUGGUUUAUUGGUUUGAGUAAUUAUGAUGUGCAGCAGUUUAUGAUUUCAGAGAUCACUAAAGUCCCUGUUAGUCAGAGGUUGGACGUACAGUGCGUGGGGGGCUCAGGGCAGCGGUAGAGGAUUUUUCUAACCAAUAACAACAACGUGCAACAGCGAGUCAUAAGCAACAACCACAAUUCAUUGCGCCUCACCUACAGUGAGUUAUUACAGCUGAUUCAAUAAAGCUGGAGGAUUCACGGGAGAGAGAAUUAGUCAGAAUUAGUGUGGUGUAACAUCAUACAUUUCCCCCUAAUGCACGUUGAUAGCAUCUUUAAUUAGAGUCCCUUGCCUCCUGAACUUGUUUCAAACGCAUCCAGUAUUAAAUGCAGGCUUUCUAUUAAAAUGUCAAACGCUCGAGUGAAACGGCACCACGAGCGCAUUAUUAUGGCUCUAUUUUUUCAAACUUUGGAAAGCUUCUCCAGAGCUACAGACGAUAUCGCUCGGCUGUUUUUAACAGGCCAACACUCCCUGCGAGGGGGUAAAGUGAACAUCUUGCAUGAACUCAGAUUGGGAAUUCUGCACAAUCACUCAACGCUACAUGUUUCAUAGCAAACAUUACCCGGUUGACCCAAAAGCAUUAUUUAUAGACUGGUACAUAAGACUAGGAAGGAAGUUCCAGGGAAGGAAGGAAAGCUUUCCUCUUCAUGAGAAUCUCUGGGUACUGGUUUUACUGGUUUUCUUUUUCACUUCUCUCGAAGAACAGCUCACAUCUGCUUACAUGACGAGAAGCACUUUGUAGUUGUGUAAGUGUUUCAUAAAUAAGGCCGCCCGCCAAUCGUGAGGCAGAAAACAACAGUGUUGUCCGGCGCUCUGAAAAACAGCAACAACGCGAAUGCUGCACGUCAGCCCAACAACAACAAUAACAGGCAUAUUAUAAAUAAUGCGUCCGCUUUCAAGCUGAUGGGGCUGCUCGUCUGACAGUUAAAUAAAUUCGCUGCUGGCUCAUUAAGCUGAGAGAAACCAGCGAAGAACGCGUCGGAGGAAGAAAACACAGCGUGACAGUGAACAGGCCGAUUCCAGGCUGACCUCACGUAACCCCGGCAUCGCUCAGGAUAAAUGCUGGAGAUAAAUGACUCGGUGGGGCAAGACUGGUGGUGCGGUUCAGAUAUCUGUCUGCGUCAACAGCUCAGAACGGUGUAAUCCAUAAUUAUGUUUAUCCCCUCUUCUGCAGAGGUUGUUAGACUUUCUGUCAUUGCUGCUGACUUAAUGGGAAGGACAGCUGCAGCACUAUUGCCUCCCCAAACUUGGGUGUAGGCUUUUUUUAGGCUCAACUGCAGUUUAUAUACAGUUUAUAGUACAUAGCAAUGGUGCCAGCGAUAUCACUGGCAGCAUUGUCAAACACUCUAAGGACUGUAAAGGAAUUCUUCAAAGGUCUGUCCAGGAUCACUUAUGAGAGAGAGAGACGACCGGGCCGUUUAUCUUGCUGGUGUGGGCCUGCCCGCUCCCAUCUGUGCUAGAGCAGCAUCAUAAAAGCUCGGGAUAAACACCAGCAUGAUAAACUACGUGCUGACAUCAUUACAAAUAAUCACAGUGUGGGGAACGGCCAAACGCAUUUCCCGUUGCCAACAGGAGAAAAUUGGAUAAGACAGAACUCUGGCUAAUAUGGUAAAAUGCUACAGCUCGGGUAACUACAGGGUUAAUCUACACUUUGCUUCAUCAUAUUGUCAAAAUCCUGUUUUUAGAAUAAGCUCGUCAUUCUUCCGCAAACUUCUCAGAUCAGGGUUCAGCAGUCUUCAAAUCCAGCCAUCAUAUAACUUUACGGCUUGUUUUUGAAGCUUUAUUUAUUAAAGUAAAGUGAAACUCUUGAGAAAUAUGUUUGCAAGAGUGUCACCACAGGUGGGAGAAGAUCCUUGCAAGCAGGAGGAGAACAUGCAGAUUCCAUUUAGGACUUCUUAUAAAUAUGGCUGCGCUUCCAGACAGAGAGAAACAAACAGCAAUGAAAAACAGUCAAACUAAUUCAAAUAUGUGGGAUUGGGGUGAGGGGCUUUCACAUAGUCAAAUCAUGGCGAGAGUGAAGGUUUCUAAAGCUUCAUUUAACGCUGGAGCUUUUUGAGUAUGUAUCAGAACCACAGUGAAAUGUGUUUCCUGGGGUGGGGUUGGCUACUCCAUCUUUCAGAGACAGCCUCCACCCUCUGGUUUGAGUCUUUAUAGAGAGAUUAAUACUGGAGCAGGAUAAUGAGUAAAGUAAAUAUUUGCAAGAACUACUCGAGGACCAAAGAGGACCCAGGAGUGGAGACUGCCUGAGAUUUUCCUCCAGAGUCACGCGACCUCAGCCUGACUGAACAUUUCUGGGGGCACUUUAAGGAAGAGGGAGACGAGCAGACUCUUUGAAACAUUGUCCAAUGAGAUAAUGUGGGUAAUGAGGGUUGAAUAAACUUGCAGAGUCCCUGCAGCUCGAGUGGAGCUGUCAUUAAAGCAAAUAAGGAGGCAAACAAAUACUAAUAUCUCCAUAAAUUCAUGCACAUUUUCCAGACACUCAAAUUAAGCUGAUAUUUAGUGUUUGAUUUGUGUCAUUUUUAGGGAUAAUUACAUUAGUCUAAAUGUGCCAGAUUUAGCCAAAUGGAUCAUUUUCAACUGGUGUCACCUGGUCUGGUGUUUAAUUAGAUCUUACAACAUCAGAAAGAAAGAAAAAGCAGGGGAAAGGCAAGCGUAUAGCCACUGGAUAUCAAAGUUUUGUGAUUACAUGCAAAGGAAUACUGAGAGUCACUGAAUCUGUAUAUCUUCAUGAAGUAUUUUCCAGAACUGACACGCUAUUAUUGUGAAGGAUCUUGAAACAAAGGAUGCUUUCUUCCUCAUUAAACAAAUACAAGUGUCGCCUCUUUUUCUGCAUGUUGAUCUAUCGCCAACAUUUCUCUGAAACUCGUCCUUUGCAAUUAAAAGAUUUUGCAGUAAAUGUGGAACAAAUGCAAAAUCGAAGCAUCUGCACAGGUGGCCUCCAAUUCCAUUAUUGCAUUGUAUAAAUAAUUUUGUGGAGAUGUUUAGAAAAAAUGCUGUUAGUCAGUAAGUACUCUGGCAGCACUGCUUUCUUUGCUGGACAGCAGAAAUGUAGAGAAAGGACGGGAAACAUGGUGAAGAGUGACAUCUAUAAUCCCUGGCCAAGACAUAAUACAACAAUCCUGCAGGUCCCGGUCAGCACCUCGACCCCACUGCACUGUUUCCCUUGAGGUUAAGUUCAACUUUUAUUUUUUUAUCGUGACUCUAUACAUCCUCUGCUUUCACGUCAUUCUAGUGGAAAAUUCUGCUUAUUUUAUGCGAUUCAUAUCUUCAUCAUGUAAAAUGCCAGCCCAGUGCCGUGUUUGUGCACUUGUAGAAAGCUCACGCCUCUUUCUGUUGGUAUAAAUGUCUCCAUUUCCAAAGCAGAACAGAAAACCCAAUAAAUUCAGGAUCCUUUAUAAUAGCUGCAGGCCUGUGCUGCUGAUCGUUUAUGUUCGUUGCAUGUGUAAAAUCGUAUCUCUGUGAUUGCUGAUGAAAAAACAAACUAAACUGGAACCUUGG
rnacentral:lncRNA from 1 species